GUGGGGAAUUGUUCGCAAUGGGCGCAAGCCUGACGACGCAACGCCGCGUGGAGGACGAAGAUCUUCGGGUCGUAAACUCCUUUCGAUCGGGAAGAACGGCUUCCGGCUGAAUAAUCCGGAAGUGUGACGGUACCGAGAGAAGAAGCCCCGGCUAACUCCGUGCCAGCAGCCGCGGUAAUACGGGGGGGGCAAGCGUUGUUCGGAAUUACUGGGCGUAAAGGGCUCGUAGGCGGCCAACUAAGUCCGACGUGAAAUCCCCAGGCUUAACCUGGGAACUGCGUCGGAUACUGGAUGGCUUGAAUCCGGGAGAGGGAUGCGGAAUUCCAGGUGUAGCGGUGAAAUGCGUAGAUAUCUGGAGGAACACCGGUGGCGAAGGCGGCAUCCUGGACCGGUAUUGACGCUGAUGAGCGAAAGCCAGGGGAGCAAACGGGAUUAGAAACCCUGGUAGUCC
rnacentral:rRNA from 1 species